UACGGGGGGGGCAAGCGUUGUUCGGAAUUACUGGGCGUAAAGGGUUCGUAGGUGGCCGACUAAGUCAGACGUGAAAUCCCUCAGCUCAACUGGGGAACUGCGUCUGAGACUGGCCGGCUUGAGUGCAGGAGAGGAACGCGGAAUUCCAGGUGUAGCGGUGAAAUGCGUAGAUAUCUGGAGGAACACCGGUGGCGAAGGCGGCGUUCUGGACUGCUACUGACACUGAGGAACGAAAGCCAGGGGAGCAAAC
rnacentral:rRNA from 1 species